rnacentral:rRNA from 1 species
GAGCACGUAGGUGGGUUUGUAAGUCAGAUGUGAAAGCCUUCUGUUCAACGAAAGAAUUGCAUCUGAAACUGCGAGUCAUGAGUGUAGGAGGGGAGAAUGGAACUUCUGGUGGAGCGGUGAAAUGCGUAGAUAUCAGAAGGAACGCCGGCGGCGAAAGCGAUUCUCUGGCCUAUUACUGACACUCAGUGUGCGAAAGCUAGGGGAGCAAACGGGAUUAGAUACCCCGGUAGUCCUAGCCGUAAACGAUGGGCACUAAGUAGAGGGGUUUU